UUAAAGGCAAUGAGCGGAAAGAGUAGCAGGUUCUGAACUUUCAGAGAGAGGCUGCCACCGGCUGAAAGUGGCCUCAAGGGAGGAGUUUGUGAAGUGCAUCCGGGAGCUGAUUCUGCAAAAGUGACAGGCACUAGUAGCAGAGUACGGGGAGCAUACGUUACGUGUGAUAAGUGAAAGAAGAAAUUCUUUUAUUAGAGUGGAACCGCGGAUAUGACUUCGUCUCUUAC
rnacentral:ncRNA from 1 species